rnacentral:rRNA from 1 species
CAGCUUGACAUUACCUUUAGAAGAAGCACCGGCUAACUCCGUGCCAGCAGCCGCGGUAAUACGGAGGGUGCAAGCGUUAAUCGGAAUUACUGGGCGUAAAGCGUGCGUAGGCGGUUCGUUAAGUCAGAUGUGAAAGCCCCGGGCUUAACCUGGGAACUGCAUUUGAAACUGGUGGACUUGAGUUGAGUAGAGGGGAGUGGAAUUUCAGGUGUAGCGGUGAAAUGCGUAGAUAUCUGAAGGAACACCAGUGGCGAAGGCGACUCCCUGGACUCAAACUGACGCUGAGGUACGAAAGCGUGGGUAGCAAACAGGAUUAGAUACCCUGGUAGUCCACGCUGUAAACGAUGUCAACUAGCCGUUGGUCCUAUUUACAGGAUUAGUGGCGCAGCUAACGCAUUAAGUUGACCGCCUGGGGAGUACGGCCGCAAGGUUAAAACUCAAAUGAAUUGACGGGGGC